CAGCACCUCAAGUGGUCAGGAUGAUUAUUGGGCCUAAAGCAUCCGUAGCCGGCGCUGUAAGUUUUCGGUUAAAUCUGUACGCUCAACGUACAGGCUGCCGGGAAUACUGCAGCGCUAGGGAGUGGGAGAGGUAGACGGUACUCGGUAGGAAGGGGUAAAAUCCUUUGAUCUAUUGAUGACCACCUGUGGCGAAGGCGGUCUACCAGAACACGUCCGACGGUGAGGGAUGAAAGCCAGGGGAGCGAACCGGAUUAGAUACCCGAGUAGUCC
rnacentral:rRNA from 1 species